rnacentral:rRNA from 1 species
CCUACGGGUGGCAGCAGUGAGGAAUAUUGGUCAAUGGACGAGAGUCUGAACCAGCCAAGUAGCGUGAAGGAUGACUGCCCUAUGGGUUGUAAACUUCUUUUAUAUGGGAAUAAAACGUUCCACGUGUGGGAUUUUGUAUGUACCAUAUGAAUAAGGAUCGGCUAACUCCGUGCCAGCAGCUGCGGUAAUACGGAGGAUCCGAGCGUUAUCCGGAUUUAUUGGGUUUAAAGGGAGCGUAGGUGGAUUGUUAAGUCAGUUGUGAAAGUUUGCGGCUCAACCGUAAAAUUGCAGUUGAAACUGGCAGUCUUGAGUACAGUAGAGGUGGGCGGAAUUCGUGGUGUAGCGGUGAAAUGCUUAGAGAUCACGAAGAACUCCGAUUGCGAAGGCAGUUCACUGGACUGCAACUGACACUGAGGCUCGAAAGUGCGGGUAUCAAACAGGAUUAGAUACCCUUGUAGUC